CCUACGGGGCGCAGCAGUGGGGAAUAUUGGGCAAUGGGCGCAAGCCUGACCCAGCAACGCCGCGUGAAGGAAGAAGGCUUUCGGGUUGUAAACUUCUUUUAAGAGGGAAGAGCAGAAGACGGUACCUCUUGAAUAAGCCACGGCUAACUCCGUGCCAGCAGCCGCGGUAAUACGUAGGUGGCAAGCGUUGUCCGGGUUUACUGGGUGUAAAGGGCGUGUAGCCGGGCUGACAAGUCAGAUGUGAAAUCCGGGGGCUCAACCCCCGAACUGCAUUUGAAACUGUUGGUCUUGAGUAUCGGAGAGGCAGGCGGAAUUCCUAGUGUAGCGGUGAAAGGCGUAGAUAUUAGGAGGAACACCAGUGGCGAAGGCGGCCUGCUGGACGACAACUGACGGUGAGGCGCGAAAGCGUGGGGAGCAAACAGGAUUAGAUACCCGUGUAGUC
rnacentral:rRNA from 1 species